rnacentral:rRNA from 1 species
UACGGAGGGUGCAAGCGUUAUCCGGAUUUACUGGGUUUAAAGGGUGCGCAGGCGGAUAUGUAAGUCAGUGGUGAAAUCUCUGGGCUUAACCCGGAAAUUGCCAUUGAUACUAUAUAUCUUGAAUGUUGUGGAGGUAAGCGGAAUAUGUCAUGUAGCGGUGAAAUGCUUAGAUAUGACAUAGAACACCUAUUGCGAAGGCAGCUUACUACGCAGAUAUUGACGCUCAUGCACGAAAGCGUGGGGAUCAAACAGG